GGAGUCAGUUCGGCUGGAUUGGAUACAGGUGUUGCAUGGCUGUCGUCAGCUCGUGUCGUGAGAUGCGGGUUAAGUCCUUUAACGAGCGCAACCCUCAUUGCAUGUUAAUUUUUCAUGCGAGACUGCCCUGGGUUAACAGGGGAGGAAGGUGGGGAUGACGUCAAGUCAGCAUGGCCCUUACACCUUGGGCUACACACGUGUUACAAUGGCCGGUACAAUAAGUCGCAAUACCGUAAGGUGGAGCUAAUCUAUGAAACCGGUCCCAGUUCGGAUUGGGGGCUGAAACUCGCCCCCAUGAAGUCGGAAUCGCUAGUAACCGUGAAUCAGCACGUCACGGUGAAUACGUUCCCGGGUCUU
rnacentral:rRNA from 1 species